rnacentral:rRNA from 1 species
UAGUCCACGCCCUAAACGAUGCUAACUCGAUGUUUGGGUCUUGUACUUGAGCAUCUUAGGGAAACCGUUAAGUUAGCCACCUGGGGAGUACGUUCGCAAGAAUGAAACUCAAAGGAAUUGACGGGGGCCCGCACAAGCGGUGGAGCAUGUGGUUUAAUUCGAUGAUACGCGAGGAACCUUACCAGGGCUUAAAUGCAUAUUGACAGGGCUAGAGAUAGCUUUUCCUUCGGGCAAUUUGCAAGGUGCUGCAUGGUUGUCGUCAGCUCGUGCCGUGAGGUGUCAGGUUAAGUCCUAUAACGAGCGCAACCCCUGUUGUUAGUUGCCAGCGAGUCAUGUCGGGAACUCUAACAAGACUGCCAGUGCAAACUGUGAGGAAGGUGGGGAUGACGUCAAAUCAUCACGGCCCUUACGUCCUGGGCUACACACGUGCUACAAUGGUAGGGACAGAGAGCAGCCACUGGGCGACCAGGAGCGAAUCUAUAAACCCUAUCACAGUUCGGAUCGG